AUCAUAGAUACUAUAUAUACCAAGUGGAUGCGAAACAGGAAGUAGAUUGUACAUGAAAUUAUAUUGGUGACGUCACGAGCAGUAUGCCUAUGCUCUUUUCGCUCUAGCGUAGCCUCUAGUGGCCUUGUUUCUCGAAGUUUUGGGUUCUUGGUCAAGUUACUACUUUGCUGAGUUGAAGUAAGUAUUAUGAAGUCUCUAUUAGCUCGAAUGACUUGCUGAAUCCUUGUUUGCUUGAUCACUGGAUCUCGUUGUGCUGUAAAACAUGGCGGCCUAUAGUUCUGACUUUAAACACCUUUUCUCCAAUCUGGGGCAGAGUUAGGUAUGAAUAUGAAACCAAUGAAGAUAAAUUGUCUGUUGUUUCUUGUACUGACUCUUUUCAGAAGAAAUAUAGAUUUUUAUGAAGUUUUUUAUAAUUAUUGAUUUUGCCACCAUUUUGGUUGCUAAGCGUAUCUAGGAAAAACGUCA